CAGAAUUCCAGAGAACGUAAGGUUGGAGUCAGAUUUCAGGGUUGAAGAACAGAUCUCUAUAGGUGAAGAGUAGAUUAUAUUUUUUUUCAGAAUUAUUCUUCUCCCAAGCUUUCAAGGACUUCUUUUGAGGUACUCUUAGUUCGGGUGAGGAGUGAUGGCUAGGCUGAGGAAUGGUCAUCAUUAGGAUUUGACUUAGGAUUUUAUGUUGGAUUUUGUUUAACUAUUAGUUAUGUUAUUUUGGAUCAUUUGGUAUUUGGAAGUUAUUUGGAAAUUGAAUUUUGAGGAUUUUAGAUUUUGUUUCCGCUA